rnacentral:rRNA from 1 species
UCCUAGCUGUAAACGAUCUGUACUAGUCUGUGGGGACUUCCACAUCCUCUCGGACGUAGCGAAAGUGUUAAGUACAGCGCCUGGGGAGUAUGGUCGCAAGGCUGAAACUCAAAGGAAUUGACGGGGGCUCACACAAGCGGUGGAGGAUGUGGCUUAAUUCGAGGAUACGCGAAGAACCUUACCUAGACUUAACAUGCUUGGGAAUUUCUGUGAAAGCAGAAAGUGCCUUUCGGGGAGCCCUUGCGUAGGUGCUGCAUGGCUGUCGUCAGCUCGUGUCGUGAGAUGGUCGGGUUAAGUCCCUUAACGAGCGAAACCC